GACGAAGGUGGCUAGCGUUGUUCGGUGUCACUGGGCUUAAAGAGUAUGUAGGCGGAAAAGUAAGCGUUUUGUGAAAUCCCUCGGCUUAACCGAGGAAUUGCUUAGCGAACUACUUUUCUUGAGGCAAGUAGGGGUGCAUGGAACUCUUGGUGGAGCGGUGGAAUGCGUAGAUAUCAAGAGGAACGCCAAUGGAGAAAUCAGUGCACUGGGCUUGUCCUGACGCUGAGAUACGAAAGCGUGGGGAGCGAACGGGAUUAGAUACCCGCGUA
rnacentral:rRNA from 1 species